rnacentral:lncRNA from 1 species
AGUGGCCGAGCUUUUGGACCUGCUUUCUCCAGCCCUUGAUGUAACGACAUUCUGCUGCUGUCCGGAGGCCGCCAUUCUUCUCAUCACGCCUCGCUGCAGCCGCUGUAGGCGCCACGUCCUCGACUGCUGGAGGGGGCUUUGCUAAGGCCAGCAAGGCUGGACCGGGAGACCCUUCGGUCUGAGGGGUUCUGGCUCCGAGGCCACCGCCGCCAUCAGGUCAUCGAAGUGGAGUGGGGGGAGCGGUUCGCCUGUUCUUCAAAGCCUGGGCCCAGCCAGUGGGCAGUCACAGCGAGGGAUCGAAGACGCUGCAGGGCAGAGGCACGGCCCAUCCUCGGGCCCCCAGGUCACCCACCGCCAUCGGCGGCAGGACCUGGAGGACCCUUGGGAAGCAGGCCGCACUCUGUUUCUCACUGCACUCUGCCGGAACUGACUUGGCAGUUCUCUUUACUGGCGAGAAAGGAGCGGCACCGGAAGUGCUCUAGCGCCUGGGCCAGAGAGCUACGGUUCCGGUGUUACAACGUUCCGGCUGGAGAACUAUAGAAGAGAGGCAGUUAGGUGGGGUGAGGACGCCCUCUUGGCUUGCAGUUCUGAACAAGAGUUGUGACCAGCAUCACAAGACCUUAAAUCUCCUGUGAUAAACUGGACAAGGCCCAGAGGAGCAUUUUCAUUCAUCCAACCAUUCAACAAGGGACUAUGUUUUAUCCAGCUCUAUAUCCCCAGAGCACAGCACAAGGAAAGAGAUUUAAAAUGGAAUAUGUAGGCAAAUUGCUAGGCACAGUGCUAACAUGUAAGUAGACUCUAAUGCUCUCUGCAAUGAUGCUGAUUGAUGGUGAUGCUGCAGCCUCUCUUGGCACCUGGAAACAUAGACACACACACAUCUUUUCACCCUGCUCCCAGCCUCUGGAUGAUGCCCUCCAAGAUCUCUUCUAACUGCAAGGAACCCGUGAUGCUGUGAUGAUGAAACCUCAGCUGACACCUCAGGCUCCAGAAAGCAGGCUGAGUGGAUGUCUGUACCUUGUGGGAAUGUGGCCAGAUUUUUCAUGUUCAGGCCUGGAGAGUGUGGCUCCCGGACCUCCUAAGGGAGGGCUGAUUCCCCAGGGGGCAUCCAGAAGUAGGGGACCCACUAGGAAAUGUAGCAAGG